CCUACGGGUGGCAGCAGUGAGGAAUAUUGGUCAAUGGACGAGAGUCUGAACCAGCCAAGUAGCGUGAAGGAUGACUGCCCUAUGGGUUGUAAACUUCUUUUAUAUGGGAAUAAAAUGUUCCACGUGUGGGAUUUUGUAUGUACCAUAUGAAUAAGGAUCGGCUAACUCCGUGCCAGCAGCCGCGGUAAUACGGAGGAUCCGAGCGUUAUCCGGAUUUAUUGGGUUUAAAGGGAGCGUAGGUGGAUUGUUAAGUCAGUUGUGAAAGUUUGCGGCUCAACCGUAAAAUUGCAGUUGAAACUGGCAGUCUUGAGUACAGUAGAGGUGGGCGGAAUUCGUGGUGUAGCGGUGAAAUGCUUAGAUAUCACGAAGAACUCCGAUCGCGAAGGCAGUUCACUGGACUGCAACUGACACUGAGGCUCGAAAGUGUGGGUAUCAAACAGGAUUAGAUACCCUAGUAGUC
rnacentral:rRNA from 1 species